CAGUCGCCGCGGGAAUACGUAGGUGGCAAGCGUUGUCCGGAAUUAUUGGGCGUAAAGGGCUCGCAGGCGGUUUCUUAAGUCUGAUGUGAAAGCCCCCGGCUCAACCGGGGAGGGUCAUUGGAAACUGGGAAACUUGAGUGCAGAAGAGGAGAGUGGAAUUCCACGUGUAGCGGUGAAAUGCGUAGAGAUGUGGAGGAACACCAGUGGCGAAGGCGACUCUCUGGUCUGUAACUGACGCUGAGGAGCGAAAGCGUGGGGAGCGAACAGGAUUAGAGACCCCCGUAGUCCCUGUCUCUUAUAC
rnacentral:rRNA from 1 species